rnacentral:rRNA from 1 species
GACGAACCGAGCGAACGUUGUUCGGAAUCACUGGGCUUAAAGGGCGCGUAGGCGGGUGGGAAAGUCUGCGGUGAAAUCCUCCAGCUUAACUGGAGAAGUGCCGUGGAUACUGCUCAUCUUGAGGAGGGUAGGGGCAUCUGGAACGGUCGGUGGAGCGGUGAAAUGCGUUGAUAUCGACCGGAACUCCGGUGGCGAAGGCGAGGUGCUGGACCCUUCUGACGCUGAGGCGCGAAAGCCAGGGGAGCAAACGGG